AUCCAUCUUCAAUGAGCUCUGAAAAGACCCUUAAAACUAUUUAGAAAAAAUCAUCAGUGGGAGUUGUGUCUUAGAAAGAAACAGUUCCUUUAAAAUGACAUCUGCUGCAAUAUCUAAUUAAUUUUAUAUAUGUUACAUUAAAAAGCCCACUUCUGUUUAGCACAGGGAGGUGAUGGAUUGCUAUUGAUCAGAACUCACUAUCAGUAACAGGCCUGUUUACUGAAGACAUGCCAUUUGUGUCAGAUAAACCUGGCAAUGAAUUUCCCAAGUUUAGCACUUUGAUUUGAUAACAGAAUAUAAAACCUUACAUUUGCACCCUUGAUGAAUAAAUACUUUCAUAUCUUCCUCACAAAAAGUCUAAAAGAAAGCUAGAAUAAAGUCACCCCAUUUUAUACUGGAGGAAACUGAGGCACAGAGGGGUUAAGUGACUUGGGAAUAGUUGUCUGGUUACUGGUAGAAUUGAUUCUAGCACCCAAAUCACCCAACUCUUGGUCCUAAAAAUGAAAUAGCAACUACAGCUCUCUAGAUGCUAACAUUCUUUGAUACUUGGAUGAAGCUCAUUGCCUUUCAAACAAGAAAUCUGGCACAUGCACACACACACACACACACACACACACACACACACACACGAAAAGAAUAAAAGUAAAACAAUUACUUUUCAGACAAUGAUUUCUGCCACCAUAUUUUUAUCCCAUGUCCUCGUCACCAAAGCAGUCACCCUCGCUUAUAUAAAUAUUUGUUUUAUAUUAGCAUCUGUGUUAUGGUGAUUCAGAACAUAACAAAGCAAGUUCUUGCCUAUGAAUAACAUUAUAGAUGCCCCAGAUGAUAGGUCAUUCUUUUAUUUGGUUCACAUUUUGGUUCACAAUGGGUCAUAAUCAGGCACCAAUCUUGCUUGUUUCCCAGCAAUAUUUGCAGAUAUGCAAACUGGCCCCUUGCAUGCACAUCCUGGAGCACGUCCUGGAGCCUUUAGAGGAGACGGCUGCUGCUGUUCCAGUCUCUCCUUAGGCAGACUUGAGUUUCUACCCACUCUUCCCAAGCAGCCGCCCCUCCGCACCCGAGCGAGCCAAAGACCUGGCGGGCUGAGUACUCACUGCGCGCUGGACACAUGCUGAGCCGGCACUGCAGGGACACAGGGCGAGCCGCUGGAUGCAGACCUGUGGCCGCGGCAGUUGGGCUUAUCUUGCCCAUGAAGUUGCCUCUGAAGAACCAAGUCCAACUGUGUAUGCUGAGAGAUGUCUGGCUACUUCCUGAUUGACAGUUCUGGCAAGGUGGCAUUGGGCCCUGGCUUUUCCUCUGGAGGCAUCAUCACUUAUAGGAAAAUGUCCCCUGAAGUCCAAGGAUCAAAGCUGCUGGAACACUGAGAAGCUGAACAAAGGAGAACUGUUUCUCAUCAAACCCAGACUUCCAGACUUCCAAUAGGGUAGAAUGAGCAAGUCAGCAAAUCAUCUUCCUUGGAAACAGUGAUAAAACUAGAUGACAUUGUCAACAACAGCCAUUUCAGAAAUCUAGAAAAUGACCAAAGGCAAACAACAAACUGAGAAGCAUUUUUUUUUCCAUGAAAAAUCGCUCUAUUUCUGCAAAAAUAGUGGGAGUCUAUGGCUUCUCAUCCAGGGCUGUUUCUCUCCCCACCCCAGCUCAGUCAGUACAAAGGUUCUGGCAGCAUGAGGCAGACUGAACAGACCUGAAGUUUGAUUGCUGGAAGAAACUGACUCCAGGUUUGGCAGAGGGUGAGAAACCUACUCCCAGCCAUGUUGUCUGGUGACACAGUGACCUUAGGGACAAGUGAAUAGGGAAGGCCAGUGAUUCAUUAACCUGAGGUUGCAGUCCUGGUUGGGGAAAGCAUCAGAAUGGCAGAUAAGCUAGAAAUUUAGUAGGGAUAUGCUGGAAAUGAGACAACCCCAAAGGGGCUUGACCCCAAAGUUGUCCACACACCCCAGCUGCCUUCUGAGCAGAUGUAGGGAGAGACCAGAGAAGGCCUAGGCUAUCCACACAUCUCUGGCUAACCCAGGCUGUAAACCUGUGGAGGAGACACAAGAGGUGGAUUGAUUGCUAAUGGGCAUAUGGGGGAUCUUACUGGUUGAUAGGAACAUUCUCAAAUUGGAUUGUGGUGAUGCUUGCACAACUCUAAGUUUAUCCCAAAUUGCUAAAUUUUACACUAAAAAGGGGUGAACUUUAGGGUAUAUAAAUUAUACAUCAAUAAAGUUGUCAUAAAGCAUUCACAUUCUAAUAAAUGGCUCUAAGAAAUAUUGUUUUGAAAAUUUUCCUUUGGUAUAUUAUGGCACUCCAAAAUCAACUUCUGUCAGAACAAUAAUUAACUAUUUCUGAUUAUAGAUAUUGGUCAUCUACAAUGAUUUAUUCAGUCUUUUAUGUCCCGCAUAAGGGCUUAGAAUGCUUUAAAUUUCUAAGACCAUCAAUAGCCAGGACUCACCUGAAAACUAUAUAUAUUUUUAAAAAGACGUAUGCUCUGGGACACCAUAUGCUAACAUUUGUUGAGCACACAGUUUGCUACAGAGGUUAAGAGGUGUACUAUUUAAAUCUAACUUCCUCAAGGGGCUCACACUAUUACAAUAGUAAGCUAAAGAGAUAGAAGAAAAGUUUAUAUAUAAAAUCUCAGUACAGGGAUGGGGUUGGUAACAAAUAAGAUGCUGCCACUUACACUUGAUAAAUUAUAAAAUAUCUAUUGCAUUCAUUAUUGGAGGCUGACCCUUAUAAAAACCUUGUGGGUACUGCAAAAGACAGGGAAACCGAGGCUCAGAGUGGUUCAGCAACUUGUGUGAGGUCACAUACCUCAUGUCAAAGCUGAGAUUUAAAUGUGUGUGGCUAGGCUGGACAUGGUGGCUCACACCUGUAAUCCUAGCACCCUGGGAGGCUGAGGUGGAACACACUCCUUGUUUGUGUCCAGGAGUUCAAGACCAGCCUGGACAACAUAAUGAGACCUCAUCUCUACAAAAAAUAAAAAAUUAGCUGGGUGUGGGGCCACGCACCCCAAGGUUCUCAGGAGGCUGAGGCAGGAGGACUGCUUGAAAUCAGGAGGUUGAGCCUGCAGUGAGCUGUGAUCAUGCCACUGCACUCUGCCUGGGUGACAGAGUGAGACCCUGUCUCAAAAAAAUAAAAAUAAAAACAAAUAAAUGUGUGUGGCUGAUUCUCAUGCAAAUAUUGGUGAAGAUCUGGUAGUGAUGUAAAUUGGUAGAACCUCAGUGGGAGAUAACUUUGCAAUAGCUAUCAAAUGAAAACUGUGUAUAUUCUUUGUUUCAGGAAUUUCACUUCUAAGAUGUUUUUAAUAUAGCAGAAAUGGUUAUCCAUAAAGAAUUAGUUCAAUACAUUUUAUCUGUAAAAUGGAAUGCAAUGCGGCCAUUAAAAAGGAGGCAUAUCUGAGUAUACUAAUAUAGAAUGGUCUGCAAGAUAUAUUAACUUUUUUACAAAAGCUGUUCCCCACACUUCUUCGUGUUGUUUGAAAAGACGUGAAGGCUCAGACAGGCCUUCAUUGUGACUUGCCCAGGAUGAGUAGCAGGGCUGGAAUUCCUACUCAGGAGUCCAGAUUUAUAGGCUUCCUCUUUGCUUUAUCCUAUUUCAUAGCUGUCUCUGUUGCCAGAGCCAUGGAAGG
rnacentral:lncRNA from 1 species